UUGAGAGUUUGAUCCUGGCUCAGGAUGAACGCUGGCGGCGUGCCUAACACAUGCAAGUUGAGCGAUUUACUUCGGUAAAGAGCGGCGGACGGGUGAGUAACGCGUGGGGAACCUACCCUGUACACACGGAUAACAUACCGAAAGGGAUGCUAAUACGGGAUAAUAUAUUUGAGAGGCAUCUCUUGAAUAUCAAAGGUGAGCCAGUACAGGAUGGA
rnacentral:rRNA from 1 species